CUGCUGCCUCCCGUAGGAGUCUGGUCCGUGUCUCAGUACCAGUGUGGGGGACCUUCCUCUCAGAACCCCUACGCAUCGUCGGUUAGGUGGGCCGUUACCCCGCCUACUGCCUAAUGCGCCGCAUGCCCAUCCCUGUCCGGCCGAAGCCUUUCCUGCCUCCGGGAUGCCCCGGUGGCAUGUACGCGGGUUUAGCCCGCCUUUCGGCGGGUUGUCCCCCUGACAGGGGCAGGUUGCAUACGUGUUACUCACCCGUGCGCCGGUCGCCGGCGGAGAAG
rnacentral:rRNA from 1 species